rnacentral:tRNA from 1 species
GCCUGGGUAGGUCAGUGGUUGAGCAUCUGCCUUGGGCUCAGGUCGUGAUCCUGGGGUCCUGGGAUCAAGUCCCACCUCAGGCU